GGCAAAGGGAAAAUGCCCGGUAUGAGCAAAAUAAAGAAGGGAUGUUAGAAAGCUAGAGCUGUAUUUAUUUUUCAGUUGCAGCUUAGCUAAUGUUUCAUCUGGUUUAUUGCGCCAAACUUUUGUCUCAGGUUCUUUUAUCACAUGGAUUGCACUCAGUCCCAGUUUAUACCUACAUAUGAUAUUGCAUUUACCCUUGUACCUUUCAGUUCCAUGGUUAUUGUAAAGCAUCCACUAUUGUUGUACACAUACAAGUAGUUGUAUUCACUAAUCAUCUUUUGUUUCCUAUUAUCCUCAAUAGGAUGCUAUUUUAUGCUGAUCGAAGUUAGUACUAAUACAUAACUUUGGUAGUCCGCAGAACCAAAAUCCUUUGACCUGAUCUCUUUGCAGGUGAAAAUUUAUAUUUUACUACGCAGAUGUAGAGUUGGCUUUUAUAUAAGGAAAUAAGAUUCGAGAAAUAAGCAACUUAAACACAGCAAUUGAAGAUUUCCAAGUCGGAUUUACCAACUUCAACAGAGAAUUGGCUUUUGUAGAAGGAAAUAUGAUUUGAGAGGGAUCGGACGGGAGAAAUAGAGAAGGACAGACGAUUGCUGCAGGAGGAGCAGGAGUCCUUGCACGUGGACACCCUCCCGUUCUCCCAGGUGAUCCGGCUACCAUGUCAUGGAUUCAGGGUAGUGUGUGGGAUUUCCAGUAGAAGAGUAGCUACUCACAAGCUUGAUGCCGCAAAGGCAUCUUCCUACUCUUCUGAGAACUUCCACCAAUAAGCUCCACGCGCUCCUACACCUUCUUAUGAGUCAGUAGAAGAGUAGCUACUCACCUUCCUACGUCUCUGUCAUGUAGUUUCUAACGAUCUUUUAUGUGCCAUGUCGACAAGGCCACAAGGGUGAUUGAUAAAAAAUCCAAGCAGGCUCCAUGUGAGGUGAAUCAAGAAAUCAUCUCUACUUAAGUCCAAGAGGUCACCAGGUGAAGGGAUGGGUAAACUAUCAGGUUGCAUUAAUUUGGAGCUAUGAAACUG